CUCGAACGCAACAUAGGGAAAUUUUUUUCAUCUCCUUCUAUUUCAAUAUCCUUCUGCACUUCAGAUUGAAACCCAUAGGAAGAGAAGAACCCAGUCAAACUCAAAUGAUCCUUCUUCGAAUUAAACUCCAACUAAAGAAAACCGCAUCUCAUUCUUAUGAUUUCUCUCUACUCAUCAAUUUCAGGGAAUUUGAAGAGAUGAAGGUGAUUUAUUUCCGAUGAAAUUCGUUGGUUAUUGUUGCUGGGAAAAGCUUCAACUCAGCAAAAUGUCUUUUGUGCAUUGGCUUGGAGUUGGUCUUCAAUAUCACUUCAGUCGAGCAGAGAUGCUAUUGAAUCUCAAGAUCCGAAACGAGCCGUGCAAACCUGGCGCCCACUUCAUCACACUUGAAAAGAUCAAUGGUGAGGAGGAGAAGCUCUAUAAAGAAAUUAAGGUAAUCAUAUAUGAUGACCAUCUUUGACUGCUGUACAUGUACCCUACAAUGUUGUUAACCAAAUGCAGUCGAAUCCCUUCUACGCAUAUGAAGCCAUCUCACUUGUAUACUCGAACUGAUCUCAAGCUCAUCAGAAACAGUGUUCACUAAGAGGUUAGUUGUUAUUCUCCUGGGUGAAUGUGUAAUCUAUAACAGAUCUGCUGAGAGUGGUAAGGAUGCUUUUAUGGUAGUUGAUGUCAUCAGCCAGAAGAUUGGUCUUUACUGCAUACUUCCUAAAAUUUGAAGUGAUACAGAAGAGGUUUCCUUCGAUUUAUCGAACAAGGAGGAUUUCAAACAAAGAGGAGCAACUCAUGGAAUUUGCUGAGGGAAGUGAUAGGAGUUUGCAGAAAGUGAUGGACCUAAUGGAAGUGGUGGUGGCAUUAUGGACUAACCAGGGUAAGUUAGAGGAAAGCUAAAGCUGCUGGUAAAUAAAUUUGUACUUGAAAUGAAGGAUACAUGAUUUUGUAAAACAAAUUUUUUAAACAAAUUUAUGGAUGCCAAAGAAAAGAUUGUACCUUGAUCAAUAGUAUUGUGAACCUCAUUCGUUAUAAUUAGUGAAAAGGAAAUACAUCUUCGGCUGAUC